AUUGAACGCUGGCGGCAUGCUUUACACAUGCAAGUCGAACGGUAACAGGCCGCAAGGUGCUGACGAGUGGCGAACGGGUGAGUAAUGCAUCGGAACGUGCCCAGUCGUGGGGGAUAACUGCUCGAAAGAGCAGCUAAUACCGCAUACGAUCUAUGGAUGAAAGCGGGGGACCGUAAGGACUCGCGCGAUUGGAACGGCCGAUGUCAGAUUAGGUAGUUGGUGGGGUAAAGGCUCACCAAGCCAACGAUCUGUAGCUGGUCUGAGAGGACGACCAGCCAUACGUGGACUGCGAAACGGCCCAGGCUCCUACGGGAGGCAGCAGUGGUGAAUUUUGGACAAUGGGGGCAACCCUGAUCCAGCAAUGCCGCGUGCAGGAAGAAGGCCUUCGGGUUGUAAACUGCUUUUGUACGGAACGAAACGGUCUGGGUUAAUACACUGGGCUAAUGACGGUACCGUAAGAAUAAGCACCUGCUAACUACGUGCCAGCCGCCGCGGUAAAAC
rnacentral:rRNA from 1 species